rnacentral:rRNA from 1 species
GAUGAACGCUGGCGGCGUGCCUAAUACAUGCAAGUCGAGCGAACGGACGAGAAGCUUGCUUUUCUGAUGUUAGCGGCGGACGGGUGAGUAACACGUAGAUAACCUACCUAUAAGACUGGGAUAACUUCGGGAAACCGGAGCUAAUACCGGAUAAUAUUUUGAACCGCAUGGUUCAAAAGUGAAAGACGGUCUUGCUGUCACUUAUAGAUGGAUCCGCGCUGCAUUAGCUAGUUGGUAAGGUAACGGCUUACCAAGGCAACGAUGCAUAGCCGACCUGAGAGGGUGAUCGGCCACACUGGAACUGAGACACGGUCCAGACUCCUACGGGAGGCAGCAGUAGGGAAUCUUCCGCAAUGGGCGAAAGCCUGACGGAGCAACGCCGCGUGAGUGAUGAAGGUCUUCGGAUCGUAAAACUCUGUUAUUAGGGAAGAACAUAUGUGUAAGUAACUGUGCACAUCUUGACGGUACCUAAUCAGAAAGCCACGGCUAACUACGUGCCAGCAGCCGCGGUAAUACGUAGGUGGCAAGCGUUAUCCGGAAUUUAUGGGGCGUAAGCGCGCGUAGCGGUUUUUUAGUCUGAUGUGAAAGCCCACGGCUCAACCGUGGAGGGUCAUUGGAAACUGGAAAACUUGAGUGCAGAAGAGGAAAGUGGAAUUCCAUGUGUAGCGGUGAAAUGCGCAGAGAUAUGGAGGAACACCAGUGGCGAAGGCGACUUUCUGGUCUGUAACUGACGCUGAUGUGCGAAAGCGUGGGGAUCAAACAGGAUUAGAUACCCUGGUAGUCCACGCCGUAAACGAUGAGUGCUAAGUGUUAGGGGGUUUCCGCCCCUUAGUGCUGCAGCUAACGCAUUAAGCACUCCGCCUGGGGAGUACGACCGCAAGGUUGAAACUCAAAGGAAUUGACGGGGACCCGCACAAGCGGUGGAGCAUGUGGUUUAAUUCGAAGCAACGCGAAGAACCUUACCAAAUCUUGACAUCCUUUGACAACUCUAGAGAUAGAGCCUUCCCCUUCGGGGGACAAAGUGACAGGUGGUGCAUGGUUGUCGUCAGCUCGUGUCGUGAGAUGUUGGGUUAAGUCCCGCAACGAGCGCAACCCUUAAGCUUAGUUGCCAUCAUUAAGUUGGGCACUCUAAGUUGACUGCCGGUGACAAACCGGAGGAAGGUGGGGAUGACGUCAAAUCAUCAUGCCCCUUAUGAUUUGGGCUACACACGUGCUACAAUGGACAAUACAAAGGGCAGCGAAACCGCGAGGUCAAGCAAAUCCCAUAAAGUUGUUCUCAGUUCGGAUUGUAGUCUGCAACUCGACUACAUGAAGCUGGAAUCGCUAGUAAUCGUAGAUCAGCAUGCUACGGUGAAUACGUUCCCGGGUCU